rnacentral:rRNA from 1 species
GCCUAACACAUGUAAGUCGAGCGGUAGAGAGAAGCUUGCUUCUCUUGAGAGCGGCGGACGGGUGAGCAAUGCCUAGGAAUCUGCCUGGUAGUGGGGGAUAACGUUCGGAAACGGACGCUAAUACCGCAUACGUCCUACGGGAGAAAGCAGGGGACCUUCGGGCCUUGCGCUAUCAGAUGAGCCUAGGUCGGAUUAGCUAGUUGGUGGGGUAAUGGCUCACCAAGGCGACGAUCCGUAACUGGUCUGAGAGGAUGAUCAGUCACACUGGAACUGAGACACGGUCCAGACUCCUACGGGAGGCAGCAGUGGGGAAUAUUGGACAAUGGGCGAAAGCCUGAUCCAGCCAUGCCGCGUGUGUGAAGAAGGUCUUCGGAUUGUAAAGCACUUUAAGUUGGGAGGAAGGGCAGUUGCCUAAUACGUAACUGUUUUGACGUUACCGACAGAAUAAGCACCGGCUAACUCUGUGCCAGCAGCCGCGGUAAUACAGAGGGUGCAAGCGUUAAUCGGAAUUACUGGGCGUAAAGCGCGCGUAGGUGGUUUGUUAAGUUGGAUGUGAAAUCCCCGGGCUCAACCUGGGAACUGCAUUCAAAACUGACUGACUAGAGUAUGGUAGAGGGUGGUGGAAUUUCCUGUGUAGCGGUGAAAUGCAUAGAUAUAGGAAGGAACACCAGUGGCGAAGGCGACCACCUGGACUAAUACUGACACUGAGGUGCGAGAGCGUGGGGAGCAAACAGGAUUAGAUACCCUGGUAGUCCACGCCGUAAACGAUGUCAACUAGCCGUUGGAAGCCUUGAGCUUUUAGUGGCGCAGCUAACGCAUUAAGUUGACCGCCUGGGGAGUACGGCCGCAGGGUUAAAACUCAAAGGAAUGACG